ensembl:lncRNA
UAUAACGUGUAACUCUUACUCUGUUUCAGAUAGAAACGUAUAACUCUUACUCUGUUUCAGAUAGAACGUGUAACUCUUACUCUGUUUCAGAUAGAACGUGUAGACUUUAUAACGUGUAACUCUUACUCUGUUUAUGAUAGAAACGUGUAACUCUUACUCUGUUUCAGAUAGAACGUGUAACUCUUACUCUGUUUAUGAUAGAAACGUGUAACUCUUACUCUGUUUAUGAUAGAACGUGUAACUCUUAUUCUGUUUCAGAUAGAAACGUGUAACUCUUACUCUGUUUAUGAUAGAACGUGUAACUCUUACUCUGUUUCAGAUAGAACGUGUAACUCGUACUCUGUUUCAGAUAGAACGUGUAACUCUUACUCUGUUUCAGAUAGAACGUGUAGACUUUAUAACGUGUAACUCUUACUCUGUUUAUGAUAGAACGUGUAACUCUUACUCUGUUUCAGAUAGAACGUGUAACUCGUACUCUGUUUCAGAUAGAACGUGUAACUCUUACUCUGUUUCAGAUAGAACGUGUAGACUUUAUAACGUGUAACUCUUACUCUGUUUAUGAUAGAACGUGUAACUCUUACUCUGUUUAUGAUAGAACGUGUAACUCUUACUCUGUUUAUGAUAGAAACGUGUAACUCUUACUCUGUUUAUGAUAGAACGUGUAACUCUUACUCUGUUUCAGAUAGAACGUG